rnacentral:rRNA from 1 species
UGGGGAAUAUUGGACAAUGGGCGAAAGCCUGAUCCAGCCAUGCCGCGUGUGUGAAGAAGGCCUUUUGGUUGUAAAGCACUUUAAGUGGGGAGGAAAAGCUUAUGGUUAAUACCCAUAAGCCCUGACGUUACCCACAGAAUAAGCACCGGCUAACUCCGUGCCAGCAGCCGCGGUAAUACAGAGGGUGCAAGCGUUAAUCGGAAUUACUGGGCGUAAAGCGCGCGUAGGUGGUUAUUUAAGUCAGAUGUGAAAGCCCCGGGCUUAACCUGGGAACUGCAUCUGAUACUGGAUAACUAGAGUAGGUGAGAGGGGAGUAGAAUUCCAGGUGUAGCGGUGAAAUGCGUAGAGAUCUGGAGGAAUACCGAUGGCGAAGGCAGCUCCCUGGCAUCAUACUGACACUGAGGUGCGAAAGCGUGGGUAGCAAACAGGAUUAGAUACCCUGGUAGUCCACGCCGUAAACGAUGUCUACCAGUCGUUGGGUCUUUUAAAGACUUAGUGACGCAGUUAACGCAAUAAGUAGACCGCCUGGGGAGUACGGCCGCAAAGUUA